UAUUAGCAUGGGGAGCAUUGCUUGUAUAUAUAUUGUAAAGAGGGAUGUAAUAUGGGGCGACUUGCAUUGCUAGGUUACCCUUUUUGUUGCUUAUGGUGUCAACCUAUGAGUGUCUUGAUCUUAUUCCACAAAAGGAUAUCUUUUUUCUUUUUUCUUUUUUUUUUUCCUUCCUUUUGAGCAACACAAGGAUAUCAUUGUAAUGUAAAGCUGAUGUCUGCAACUAUUGGUCAAUCGCCCUUUCCUAAUGUAGACGAGAAUAAAACAGAGGCUCAGAAUAAGAUAACAACAUAAACUAUCAUAACCCCUAGGGGUUGGCUUUAGUGGUAAAGGUCUUGGGUUUGGGAGUAUGCUCUCCCCAGGUCUAAGGUUCAAAUCCUUUUGGGUGCAAACAAUCUCUAGGAGGCUAUUGGACUUGGAGAUUUUCCCCUUGAAUUACCUGAAGUGCACUUGCUGGAAACUCUUUGCCGAGGGCCUGUGCACCCCUAGAAUUAGUCGGGACGCUGUUCCUAGACACCUGGUGCCAAU